AGCGAACGCUGGCGGCAGGCCUAAUACAUGCAAGUCGAACGAACUCUUCGGAGUUAGUGGCGGACGGGUGAGUAACACGUGGGAACGUGCCUUUAGGUUCGGAAUAACUCAGGGAAACUUGUGCUAAUACCGAAUGUGCCCUUCGGGGGAAAGAUUUAUCGCCUUUAGAGCGGCCCGCGUCUGAUUAGCUAGUUGGUGAGGUAAAGGCUCACCAAGGCGACGAUCAGUAGCUGGUCUGAGAGGAUGAUCAGCCACAUUGGGACUGAGACACGGCCCAAACUCCUACGGGAGGCAGCAGUGGGGAAUCUUGCGCAAUGGGCGAAAGCCUGACGCAGCCAUGCCGCGUGAAUGAUGAAGGUCGUAGGAUUGUAAAAUUCUUUCACCGGGGACGAUAAUGACGGUACCCGGAGAAGAAGCCCCGGCUAACUUCGUG
rnacentral:rRNA from 1 species